rnacentral:rRNA from 1 species
GUGUCAGCCGCCGCGGUAAUACGUAGGUGGCGAGCGUUGUCCGGAAUCAUUGGGCGUAAAGAGCGCGUAGGCGGCUUGUCAGGUCCGAUGUGAAACCCUGGGGCUCAACCCCAGGCGUGCAUCGGAAACCGGCUUGCUAGAGUCUGGGAGAGGGGAGUGGAAUUCCUGGUGUAGCGGUGAAAUGCGUAGAUAUCAGGAGGAACACCAGUUGCGAAGGCGGCUCCCUGGAACAGUACUGACGCUGAGGCGCGAAAGCUAGGGGAGCGAACAGGAUUAGAUACCCUGGUAGUCCUAGCCGUAAACGAUGGACACUAGGUGUCGGGAGUGUCGACUCUCUCGGUGCCGAAGCUAACGCAUUAAGUGUCCCGCCUGGGGAGUACGGCCGCAAGGUUAAA